rnacentral:sRNA from 1 species
UCCCCGCUCACCCUAUGGGGCAGCAAAACUCUAUGCCUAUUGGAUUGUGGUGAACUUCCGUGAGGCGUAUAAUCUCUUUGCAGUGAAUGGCAUUCUCUUCAAUCAUGAGAGUCCCAGAAGAGGAGCUAAUUUCGUUACUCGAAAAAUUAGCCGGUCAGUAGCUAAGAUUUACCUUGGACAACUGGAAUGUUUCAGUUUGGGAAACCUGGAUGCCAAACGAGACUGGGGCCAUGCCAAGGACUAUGUGGAGGCUAUGUGGUUGAUGUUGCAAAAUGAUGAGCCAGAGGACUUCGUUAUAGCUACUGGGGAGGUCCAUAGUGUCCGGGAAUUUGUCGAGAAAUCAUUCUUGCACAUUGGAAAAACCAUUGUGUGGGAAGGAAAGAAUGAAAAUGAAGUGGGCAGAUGUAAAGAGACCGGCAAAGUUCACGUGACUGUGGACCUCAAGUACUACCGGCCAACUGAAGUGAGCUUCAUGAAGAAAAAGUUACUUGUUCCUUAGUACUGCCAGCUGUGUG